rnacentral:rRNA from 1 species
GCCCACCAGCUAGCCUAAUAACCUAAAAACAACAAACCACAUUAAUAACCCCAAAAACACUAACCCUACUAAAACAAAUCAUUUUUCCGCUCUAGUAUGUGCGACAGAAAAAGAUCCUUGAGCAAUAGAAAAAGUACCGCAAGGGAAAGCUGAAAGAGAAAUGAAACAACUCAAUAAAGCAUAAAAAAGCAGAGCUUACCCCUCGUA